rnacentral:rRNA from 1 species
UAGGGAAUCUUCGGCAAUGGACGAAAGUCUGACCGAGCAACGCCGCGUGAGUGAAGAAGGUUUUCGGAUCGUAAAACUCUGUUGUUAGAGAAGAACAAGGACGUUAGUAACUGAACGCCCCCUGACGGUAUCUAACCAGAAAGCCACGGCUAACUACGUGCCAGCAGCCGCGGUAAUACGUAGGUGGCAAGCGUUGUCCGGAUUUAUUGGGCGUAAAGCGAGCGCAGGCGGUUUCUUAAGUCUGAUGUGAAAGCCCCCGGCUCAACCGGGGAGGGUCAUUGGAAGCUGGGAGACUUGAGUGCAGAAGAGGAGAGUGGAAUUCCAUGUGUAGCGGUGAAAUGCGUAGAUAUAUGGAGGAACACCAGUGGCGAAGGCGGCUCUCUGGUCUGUAACUGACGCUGAGGCUCGAAAGCGUGGGGAGCAAACAGG